AAUUACUGUUGCUCUUCGAUAUCUUUGUAAACGUACUGUAUUGAAAAGGUGCAUGUUGUAAGCAGUAUUUCCAUACUAGCUUUUUGUACCGUCCAUUUCAAUCUUCUUUCAACAGUGCGUUGUUUAUCUUUAUACUUAAAUUACAUUCUUUUUAUUAAUAUAUUUCAUAAUUAUUGUUGAUCUUCGAUAUAUUUGUAAACGUACUGUAUUGAAAAGGUGCAUGUUGUAAGCAGUAUUUCCAUACUAGCUUUUUGUACCGUCCAUUUCAAUCUUUCAACAGUACGUUGUUUAUCUUUAUACUUAAAUUACAUUCUUUUUAUUAAUAUAUUUCAUAAUUAUUGUUGAUCUUCGAUAUCUUUGUAAACGUACUGUAUUGAAAAGGUGCAUGUUGUAAGCAGUAUUUCCAUACUAGCUUUUUGCACCGUCCAUUUCAAUCUUCUUUCAACAGUACGUUGUUUAUCUUUAUACUUAAAUUACAUUCUUUUAAUUAAUAUAUUUCAUAAUUAAUGUUGGUCUUCUAUGUUUGUAAACGUACUGUAUUGAAAAGGUGCAUGUUGUAAGCAGUAUUUCCAUACUAGCUUUUUGCACCGUCCAUUUCAAUCUUCUUUCAACAGUACGUUGUUUAUCUUUAUACUUAAAUUACAUUCUUUUAAUUAAUAUAUUUCAUAAUUAAUGUUGGUCUUCUAUGUUUGUAAACGUACUGUAUUGAAAAGGUGCAUGUUGUAAGCAGUAUUUCCAUACUAGCUUUUUGUACCGUCCAUUUCAAUCUUCUUUCAACAGUACGUUGUUUAUCUUUAUACUUAAAUUACAUUCUUUUUAUUAAUAUAUUUCAUAAUUAUUGCUGAUCUUCAAUAUCUUUGUAAACGUACUGUAUUGAAAAGGUGCAUGUUGUAAGCAGUAUUUCCAUACUAGCUUUUUGUACCGUCCAUUUCAAUCUUCUUUCAACAGUACGUUGUUUAUCUUUAUACUUAAAUUACAUUCUUUUAAUUAAUAUAUUUCAUAAUUAUUGUUGAUCUUCGAUAUAUUUGUAAACGUACUGUAUUGAAAAGGUGCAUGUUGUAAGCAGUAUUUCCAUACUAGCUUUUUGUACCGUCCAUUUCAAUCUUCUUUCAACAGUACGUUGUUUAUCUUUAUACUUAAAUUACAUUCUUUUUAUUAAUAUACUUCAUAAUUAUUGUUGUGUUUGUAUUUAAAUCCCAUACUUUCGCAAAGAAGUUUGCAAUACUUCCUGCCCAAGGGAACCGUCAUUACUUGCUACUAUCAACAACCUAUACCAAGAGUGCACAGUUUAAAGAAUCAGUUUGAUCCUGGAAGACAUUGGCACCUCACUCGAUAAAUACUCUUUCAAGAACUUCAAGAGAUUGCAGAUGGACAUUCGAGUGUGAAUUCAUACAUUUAUUGGAUCUAACCAGAAACAAUUGCGAACAUCGUCCCUCUGGGACUAACAGUUUUAUACUUGGUUAAUUUAACAUUUUAUUGCUGCCUGACAAGAACUUAAUAUGUACGAAACUUCUUGUAUGUGAAUUUAUUCAUGUACUCGACAUAAAUUGCCUUCAAAGACAUGCUACUAUAAUUGGGUGCCUCUUGUUAAACUUUUGCUGCAGAAGACUUUUAAAACACUUCAGUUGAUUAUUUGUAUAUAUUGACGAACUUUUUAAUUCAGUCAUUUCUGUUCAUCAUAAACGUAGAAAACUUUGUAACUGGUUAUAAUUGGG
rnacentral:lncRNA from 1 species